CGAGCUCUGGGCGACGGGUGAGACCCCCGCGCGACUGCUCGCCCUGCUGAUCUGCACUCCUCGGCAGUUCGACGCUGCCGACCUCGAC
rnacentral:tRNA from 1 species